ensembl:snRNA U6 U6 spliceosomal RNA
GUGCUUGCUUUGGCAGCACAUAUACUAAAAUUGGAAGGAUAUACAGAAGAUUACCAUGGCCCCUGCUCAAGGAUGACACUCAAAUUUAUAAGGCAUUCUAUAUUUUA